rnacentral:ncRNA from 1 species
AGAGGGAACCCGGUGGGAAUCCGGGACCGCCCCCCGCAGCGGUGAGUGGGAACGACCGCCGUCAUCAGCACUGGGCCCACCGGGGCCUGGGAAGCGACAGCCAGGAGGCGGUUGCGCUGUCAUCGGCAUCGCGGCUGGCACCU